rnacentral:rRNA from 1 species
CCUACGGGGGGCAGCAGUGAGGAAUAUUGGUCAAUGGCCGAGAGGCUGAACCAGCCAAGUCGCGUGAGGGAAGACGGCCCUACGGGUUGUAAACCUCUUUUGUCGGGGAGCAAAGAGAGUCACGUGUGACUCAUUGAGAGUCCCCGAAGAACAAGCAUCGGCUAACUCCGUGCCAGCAGCCGCGGUAAUACGGGGGAUGCGAGCGUUAUCCGGAUUUAUUGGGUUUAAAGGGUGCGCAGGCGGAGGUGCAACUCAGCGGUCAAAUUGCGGGGCUCAACCCCGUACUGCCGUUGAAACUGUAUCCCUAGAGGGCGCGAGAAGUAAGCGGAAUGCGUGGUGUAGCGGUGAAAUGCAUAGAUAUCACGCAGAACACCGAGUGCGAAGGCAGCAUACCGGCGCGCAACUGACGCUCAGGCACGAAAGCGUGGGUAGCGAACAGGAUUAGAUACCCCAGUAGUC